rnacentral:lncRNA from 1 species
AGAUUAACAACAUUAAUACCUACAAAAAGCAAAUAAUCUACCUAUCUGCAGUUAAGCAGCAGCGGUCCUGCGGGCAAAGAGGUGCUGGAGCUGAGGCCACUCGGAUUACAAGCGUUUUGACCCCUGAGAAGGCACAUCAGCACAACUACAUCUGAGGCCUACCCGAGCGGUGAGUGGGGUGGACGGCCGCCACCUCGCUAUCCUGCCCUGCGGUCUCCCUUCGGAGCUCCGACGCCACGCGGUAAGGGCCCCGUAUCCCCCCCCUUUGGACCGGUGGGGGUCAUCCCGGUCCCAGGAGACUGUCUCCGCGACCUGUAAUGCCUGGGUCUGAGAGCGCUCCCCACAACCAAAAUGGCGGAAGCAGCAGGCAAACCUGAAAUGGCGGCGCAACCAGGGAGCACCAGGUCUCAGCAGAUCUGAUUCUUCGAGGCUGUCCAGACGGUUAAAAAGCAGAGGGGCCCCUCACUACAGCGAUGUCACUAACCCACAGACGGGGAUUCCCGGCUCCUGCGGCAAAGUGCAGUCGGGACCUGCCACCCGGUCCAUCCCUAUGCAACGCUGCAAACCCUGCCAACCUACACGACACCCCCGCAUUUCAGCUGAAUCCAGUAGAGGAUCGGGCAGACAAACGGGAUCAAACACAGUGCACCCACCCCUCUUACCACUAGUCACGCUGGACUCACUCCUACCAUGCCACAGACUCUGCAGAUCGGGGGUUGGAUGAGCAUGAACUGCCAGGGAGACUCUCUCAAGGUCUGGGCUGCAGUCAGAGGGGAUGGCUCCUGUCACUCUUGCCAUCUAUGCAACCUGAUGCUCUCUUUUUAUAACUUACACCGUUAAAACCACUUGCAUAGCUUAAGCCUUGUCUACCAUUUAUUUUUAUAUUAAUUUAGUCCUGUAUUGAGUCAGAUACAAAUCCAGCAAAGCAACUGUUUUAGCAUAUCUUGAAGCGUGAUGUUUAACCUACUCUAACUACACUAACAUAGCUAAUCUAGCAUUGUUAAGCACUAAUAGUUUUAUUUACU